AUCUACGUAUUACAUAUUAUUCAGAAAUAUGCCUUCUUAAUUGGAUAAUUUAAGUACUACUGAAAUUAUUCUUAUAUUGAUCUAACUUGGAUAAACCUGAAUUUAUUAUUUCUAAUUUAUUCAUUGAACUCAGCAUGUUGCUCAUAUAUUUUAUUGUCUAUUUGCAUAAUAAUGAUCACGUUAUAUGUUACACUGCCGUUAAGGUGACUUAUAGGCCUAUUAGGCCGGGUGUUCUUUUAUGCAUUGUAUAUAUGUCUGUCAACACCUUGUACGUAAACACAUGGCACUAUAAUAAAAGAUUAUCUUAUCUUAUCUUACCUUAUUACAGCAUUUAACAAUGUUCGUGAUAAACGUUCUAAACUGAAUCAAUCAUUUUUGAUAUUAGUCCGUAUAUAGAUAAGACAGUAUCAUCCAUGCAUUACUCAUUUUUAGCUCGGCUGUUUUCGGAGAAUCCCGAGGUAUUGUCAUAGCCAGCUCGUUGUCCGCCGUCCGCUGUCCGCCGGCGUCGUGCUAAAACUUUGACAUUUUGCUCUAAAAUCAAAGUGCUUCCACAUACAACUUUGCAACUUCAUAUGUAGAUGCACCUUGAUGAGUUCUAUACGCCUCACCCAUUUUUUGGGUCACAUGGUCAAAGGUCAAGGUCACUGUGGCCUCUGAAAAAAAUAAUCUGACAAGCUAUCAUUUAUUCAAAAAUGCACCCGCAGCCGAGCGUAAGCUCUUGUUAUAAGCACGUUUAUUCAUUUACCUUGGUAUUAAAUCCUGGUGGCGGCAGCUCCCGAUUACUGCAAGGGCUCGAUCACACCAAGCUCCACAUAUAUCCCCACCCCCGAGAUCCGGAAAUUCGUGUUCGAUAGGGAGAAGAUCGUCACGUCAAUGCGGAUCACCCUGGCAUAUCCGGCUACCUAGCCCGUGUUUGAGAUGGCAUAUGCGAGAGCAUGCAACUACGAAAUGGCUCAGUUCGUGAAGGAGAACGACCAGCCAAAGGCAUUUGAGAUUCCGUACGGUGAAAGCUCGCUAAUGUUAGAGGGACCGGGGUUCCCUAUCCGCUCCCAGUGUAUUGCCGUGCGCAGUCGCUUGAAGACCGGAUACGACUAAGGAGAGGGCCAUCCGAGAGCGGGGAAUCCAUUGGUAGUCAUGGAAACAGACGGGUAUCAAGUGACAUUCGUAGGCUGUAAUGCAUUGGCGCCGCAUGUUAAAAGUCAUUUUGGUUUGCCGCGUCAUGUGAAAAUGGGUAUUAUACCAUGUGCCAACGUAGUUCCAGACCAGCUCACGAAAUGGUGCCAUCAUUCUGGCCGGGAGCAAUCCUGUCCGCCAAUCAGACCGCGAAACCAUGCGCUACGUUAUAGCGGAGAUGGAAAGCUCUUUACCAGACUUUGCGAGUGCGCAUGAUAGUCUGGAGCCAUGCUGGCAUCAGACGGCUAAAUUUACCUCACACGUGACGUUUUGGAAAUACUUGUCUAUAAAAUAUGCCUAUAUAAAAGAUAAAUCCAUGAAUGUACACUUGUAUAAACAUGUAUAUCUGUGCACGAACCAAUCGACUCGUGUGGAAACACCUACAUUGAGGAAAGCGACGCUAAGAAGCGCGUUGUCGGCGGCACGGCGUUACUUUAGGGUGAGUGGCCGUGGUUGGUGUCAAUGCACUUCAUGUUGAAGCCCAAACACCCGGAUCUGGCUUGGCGACCCCAUACUUGUGGAGCGUCACUUAUACACCCACAGUGGCUACUAACCGCUGCGCACUGCUUCGAUGGUCCUGUGAUAGAAGGCUGGGGAGACAAAGACAACUGGCGCGUGGUGCUCGGGUAACACGUACAGGGCCGAGAGGAAGGCGCAGAGCAGUACCUCACAUUUGAAAAGAUAGUGUCACACCCCACGUACUUGCUUGCUCAGAAUGAGGGGUUGCCCUAUGAUAUAGCCCUUGUUAAGUUGAGCCGUCCCGCUUACAUGUCCGAGUAUGUGAACACCAUCUGCAUCGAGCCCAACUACAUCGCGCCCGAUCACAUCCACUGCGGGCUGGGGAAGGUUAUUCGAAGGGGCGUUUUUUGCCGCGGAAAUGCCGCAUUAUGCGAGUGUUCAGAUCGUGCCCACUCCCGUCUGCGAGGAUAUCUACGGGGUUCCCGAGAAUUACACGGAUCUGUUCGUCUCUGUUAUUUGCGCCAUCGGUGAAGACAAUGGAUCUUGUCAGGGUGACUCGGGCGGUCCGCUCGCGUGCUUCCAUGACGGCCGCUGGACCCAGGUGGGCGUGGUUAAUUCAGGCGCUGGAAGCGCUCACCCACUUUACCCGGUGAUCUACACGCGCGUUAACCACUUUUACGACUGGAUAGAGACUGUCAUCGAGUCCAACUGAGCCAAUUAAACUCCAUGAAAUUUUGCAUCCGUGGUUAAUGCACGAGUAGUGGUGCAUUUUCGAAGAUACUGUUUAACAUAGUGGACAGUUUGAACUCCAGUGUAUAUAUCUCGAGUAUAUGUAUACUUUGGCGUACAUCUUCUCCCAACUUUACACAUCAUUGGAAUAUAACACGUAACCUUUUCAUCUCUGUUUUUAUAAGCAUAUAUAAGCAACUCUACGAAAGGCUGUAGUUAUCUUGUGUUUGUCCCGCUGUAGGUUCCCUUACUCGGGAUUAGGAUGCCCUCUGUCACUCUUAUCAGGGAGAUCAUUGUCAACGUAAAUACGAUAUUUCGCGAUAUUUUAAAUCCCCGUACAUUUCAAUGUUUAUGAUUUUACGUGACUUAAUGUGAGUUUUUGCGCUCGUGUUUAUUGCUCACGAUAUGCGAAACAUACCAGUCUCCGAGGACUAACUAAUCCCGAUUUCUAAACAAUUCUUAAGCCUGGUUUUAGAAUAGCUGAAAUCUCGCGUGAAAAUUGCUGUUUAUUGACAUCAUGUUAAUCAUCAAAAUAUCUUCCUUGAAGUAAUACAAUUAUCGCUUUUUCAUGAAAUAUUAGAUGUGAUAACAUAAUUUAAGGCAAAAUAAUAAAUACUGUAUAUUAACGUUUGUUGUAAAAAUAAAAUAAAAAUCUAAAGAAUUUUACCGAUGAAUGUCUGUAGUUAUCCAUUAAAAAGUGGAAGCGAAACAAAAUUGUUGCAAAAUCGUUUCUGAUGCUUAUUUUACAAAGUCAAAUGUACAUUUUUUA